ACGAACUGUGCAAACGUUAUUCGGAAUCACUGGGCUUAAAGGGUGCGUAGGCGGCCAGCUAAGCAGGGUGUGAAAGCCCCCGGCUCAACCGGGGAAUUGCGCCCUGAACUAGCGGGCUGGAGUGAGAUAGGGGUGUGCGGAACUUCCAGUGGAGCGGUGAAAUGUGUUGAUAUUGGAAGGAACGCCGGUGGCGAAAGCGGCACACUGGGUCUCAACUGACGCUGAGGCACGAAAGCCAGGGGAGCAAACGGGA
rnacentral:rRNA from 1 species